UUACCCUACGGGAGGCAGCAGUGGGGAAUAUUGCACAAUGGGCGAAAGCCUGAUGCAGCAACGCCGCGUGAAGGAAGAAGGGUUUCGGCUCGUAAACUUCUAUCAACAGGGACGAAAGAAAUGACGGUACCUGAAUAAGAAGCCCCGGCUAACUACGUGCCAGCAGCCGCGGUAAUACGUAGGGGGCAAGCGUUAUCCGGAAUUACUGGGUGUAAAGGGUGAGUAGGAGGCAUGGUAAGCCAGAUGUGAUAGCCUUUGGCUUACCCCGAGGAUUGCAUUUGGAACU
rnacentral:rRNA from 1 species